CACACAGAGGCAGAGACACAGGCAGAGGGAGAAGCAGGCCUCCCGCAAGGAGCCUGAUAUGGGAUUCGAACCUGGAUCCCGGGAUCACACCCUGAGCCAAAGGCACACACUCAACCCCUGAGCCACCCAGGCGUCCCCAAAAAAGAUUUAAAGGUAUAGAUAAGAAAUACUCAAGUGUAUUUGUGGCCUGAGAAGGAAGUGGGAGGUUGAUUGUAAACUGCUUGUUGGAUGGGACUCCCCUCCACUUGUUAGCUCCCUAUCAUCUCAGUGGCUUUUAGCAAAUGAGCAUCUGAAUCAGUGCCAGCUGACCCUAUAGGAAUGAUCUAUGCAGGGGAAGUGUGGAGGUGCACCUGUGAGCAGGCGAGCUACAGCCAGGGUCUCUCUUUGCUUUCUGGAUUACAGUGUUUCAUCCUUCGCCACAAGGGACUAUUGACAAUGCAUCGGGCCUUGGACUUGCAGGAGGGGCUGGCCAUGGGGUGCGAAGUCUUGCUGCAUUUCCCAGGGUGAACAACUCUGGCUCAGAGAAGCCCGGCGGUUUAUCUCAGGCCGGAACUAGUUAGUGGCAGCAUGAGGACUGCAACUCAAGUCAUCUGGCUCUAGGUCGGUCUUGUCUUGACAACGCCACAAAAAGUCCACGUGUCCUUCACGCUGUUAUAUUCAACCUGGGGCAGUUCUUAAAAAUACAAACUUUUAAUUAAAAUAGACAACAUAGAAAAGUGUGCAGAUUGUUAAGUGCACAGUGUGGCAAAUUUCUCAGAGUUAACACAUUAGGACACGUUUUGAUGAUUAGAUAGCAACUAAAAUAUGUAUAAUUAGUAUAAACUUCAUAGACUUGGUGUGAAAAUAGUCACAUUUUCUUGUCCAACUUAAUCAUGUUAGCUCUUAAAUUAGCUCACCUGCAGAGGCAGCUGAGCAAGGAUAAUCCACUCCCUAGUUGUUAAGUGCCCGUCUCUUAGGAUCGUAAAGAUGCAACUCUUGGCCCCUUCUGUUCCCAUCUUAGCUGCCUCAGACCAGGUCCCGGGAUCCACCACCUCUCAGACCCAGAACUCCUGUCGGCCUUCUCUCCUGAGGUCUUGCUCUUGAGGGAAGACCUUUUCCCUUAAACAUCCAGAGGACAAAGGACCUGUAAAGGGGUGUGCUUUCCCUCUAGACAUUGGAGCUACUUGCCCUUCUGACCAAAUGAUAGAGCUUCUAGGAGAGACAACCCUAGGAAUUCCCAGGGCCCUGCACAUGCCCUCAAGGAGCCUCGUGGCUUAAAUAGGCUACAAAUUCCCACCCACCCAGUCCAUACACUCCUUUGCAAUACGAUUAUCCUUUCCCAUCAAGAAGUGAGUCCAUUUCUCGACUACUCCAGAAUCUGGGCUUGGUCAUGUGAUUUGUUUUGGCCAAUGGGACAUCAGCAAACGUGAUGUGGGUGAAAGACCAGAGCACUGGUUGGGAAGCUUGGCAGCUUUUGCUGCUGGGAACCCCGAGGUCACUGUGGGCGAGGCUGGGCUAGGCUCUGGAG
rnacentral:lncRNA from 1 species